UGUCCUAUGUGGUCGAUUCAAGUUGGAAUCAACUUGACGGCAGUGGGUUUGGCUUUUUUUUUUUUAACUUCUAUGCCUAGUCUUCUCCUUUUAUAUCUCAGAAGUGAUUGGUUUAAAACAAACCCUAUGCUGAUAUGGUCAUAUUAACAUAAAGAAAACCCUAUUCUCAAAUGGGAUUACAUCCACAUGUAUAGGGAUUAGGGUUUACAACACAUAAUUUUGGAGGACUCAAUUCAAUCCAUAACAGUGUUUCAAAUUUGGAAAACCAAAAAUAGGAGUGUAAGUAUAUAAUUGUAAAUAUCAAGUUAAAAAAACAGAAAAAGUAGCUAAAAGAGUUGAAUGUGAAUGCCUGUGGAAGUGAGAAUUGGAGAUCAGUGACCUGCAAAAUUUCUCAUAGUAUUAUUUUACUUUAACUGUAUGCCUGUAUUAUUUUGAUUAAAAACUCAUUUUAAAAUAAAAGCAACUGUAAUGACAAUACACUCUGAAGCAUUUGAGAACUGUACUUCAAAAACUAAGUUUCUUUACUUUCCCAUUGCGCAAAGUGAUAUUUUCUCUCUAGUUGUAGAGUCUGGUGUGUACUUUCAGAUUUUUCUCUACACAUACAAAUGUGCAGACAAGGAAAAGAAGCAGCACAGACAUAAGCAGUGUUUGAAGGAUACGCUGAUGAUGGACUUGAAGGUUGAACAGAACGAGUUUGGAGUAAGUGAUAUGGGAUAUUGUCCACAGAAAACCUUAGACAAAAAAUGGAAAAUCAAAGAUCAACCAAUUAGGUAUUUUUUGUGAUUAGAGAACACAGAAAUGCAUGCUAAAGAUCAUUAACCUGAGUCAUGUUGUUGACAGAUUUAAAUUUUAAUAAUAAUUUUAGAGAUGACACAAUCAUGGUUAUUUUCAUCUUAAUGCAGCUGCAAUUGUUUUUUCACAAAAGCCAAAGACUAGAGAAAAAUUUGGGAGAGAAACUAAAAUAAUGGAAAGUACUAAGGCAUCAGACUAACUUGAUUUCAAAUCCCUACUCUGCCUCUGGUCUCACAUGUAUAAAAAUGGGGGGAAUUAUAACUUCCUCACAUGGUUAUGGAGAUAGUUAAAUAAAACGACAUAUGUCAAUACAAAAUCCACAUCACAUUGGGCAAGAAGUUGUUGAAGAGUAAUAAAUAUUAGCUCCUUCCAAGGAGCCAGUUAAAGGACUCCAGACCUUAAGUGAGUGUUCUUGACAGGAGGAGUUUAAUAUCUCUUUCAUCAUCACAGCGGGAAGAAGAGAGAGAACGAGCACUGAUCAUCGAGAGAUAAAACAAUUGCCAGUUAGCAAGAGCAAGUAGAUAAAGUGUUCAGGUUAGUGAGGCAGAGUUCCAGGAACAUGAAAGGGGGAACUGAAGAAAAUAUCUUUUACUAUAUUUGUCAUUUAUCAUUUUAUUUCUAAUGAGGUUAAUUAUCUACUAGAAUUUAAUAGCUGACACCAGAAUUUAUCUUAGGAGGAGAAGUCUGUUAAGGAAAAUAUCUUGAUUGUUCAUCCUUCUUAUCUUAGGGAAGCCAUGGAUGUUAGCAGGCAAGAAGUAUAAGGACACAUUGAAAAUAAGAGGCUUUAUUUCUCCCUGUUGAACAUAAGGGAAGAGGCCUCUCUCCUCCUCUGUUCUUGAAGAAUUUACUUAGAUAACUUGUAAUCGUAAAUUCUUUCUCUCUUCGAAAAGUAUGUAAAUCAAGGAUGUCUCUUCAGUGACCUGGGAACUAGCUCUGCUGAAACCUAAUCAUCAAGAAAGAUCACACCCCUACCUUCCAGGUCCCUGGAAGGAGAAUUAGCACAACUUCAGUGAUUCUUCCAUAAAGAUACUAGAAAAUUAGUAGUUUUAUUUCGAAACCAUGAAUGUACUGGAUUGGAUCCACUCAGCUAUAUGAGAGAGGGUAUUCCUAUGGCAAUCAGGCAAUCAGAGUCCUCCCUGGGCCUGGUCUCUCAAGCAAAAUCCACAUUUACCCAACAACUUGCUUCAGGGAGACCAGGAAAGGCUCGGAGUGCAGAUGAUUACUGGAUCUACCCCAGCCUACUUCCUUUUCUACCAAGCUUCAACCACUGAAUGGUACUUCUUUACACCCUUGUUUAAUAGCUUCAUUAUUCCAGUGAAAAGGCAAGGUUAAAGAGGAGGAAUUCUGGAAGCUAGAAGAAAGUUUUUUUUUAUAUAUAUAUACUGCCGUGUGCUUAGCGUCUGGUUCUGGCAGACCCUUCCAUCACACUUCUUCUGGAAAAAAAGAAAACAAAGAAGAAAAUUGAAAACAUCUUACUGUUUGUUGGUCUGCAGGCAACAUGGCAGGCACUAAAAGAAACCCUCAAAGACCAGGAAAUGUAUAAUUUCUCUUGAGAAGAAUGUGCAUGCUUUCUUCCCGCCACACCCAGAGUGCUUUUAAAUCCUUUAACUCCUUCACUCUUUCAUUUAUGUCCGGGAGUCAGAAGAAUCCUCUAGAAAUGAUUUGGCCAGACGAGCUCUCAAAUGUAAAAUCCUAGAAGAAUCUUAAGGCAGCCACAUUGCCUAAUCAUAACCAAACAGCCUUAACUACAUGUGUAUCCACGGUUGGUGUUAAACUUAAAAGAAGGAAUAUACUCACUCAUGUCCUUCUCUGCAAUUACCAGUAAACUUCAAUCUUCAGAGCCCAGAGACAAAAACAAACAAAAAAAGAUGCAACACAACCUAUUAGCACAAGCAAAAACAAUGUACUAAUAGUGAAGCUUCACGCUACACAGAAACGUUUAACUAUUCACACAACUUCAAUUGUAUAUUUUACUACUUAAAAAAAAUCCUUCCAGAUACUUCAAGCUGCCCAUUGUUCUACCACUGAAUUUUUUUUUCUUCACUACAACAUUUAUGCAGGUUGUUCAUUGUUUUAAAUUUGAUUAUAUAAUUGAGGAAAUGCAGGCCCACAGAAGUAAAAAAAAAAAAAAAAAAUUCCUAGUUACAGAGUAAGAUAGUAAAUGGAAGAGAUUUGAAAGCUUAGUUCCUUUAUUAUAGGCUGCUGAUUAAAUUAAUUAAACUAUUUUGGCUCUAGUGUUCAGUAUCCCAAAGACUCAGAAAUAUCAAUUAUUACUGGAAUGUCUUACAGAGCAACUAUUGCGAUAAAUCAAUGACCCUUAAUUGCUUUAAGUGAUAACACAAUAAAAAUUUAAAAGUUGUGCUCUCCAUAUUCAUUUCUUUCAAAAGAAAGUGUCAAUGUACAACUGCAACUCUUGGUGGUUUUCAUGUAAUAUACAUUGCAAUAUAUAUGGAUACCACAUUCCGUUUCGGAGAUGGUGAUUUUUAAAGAUUCUUGGACAGGACUUUGACUUCGGAGCUAAGGCUACUAUCCCCACUAUGCAGAAUAAGCAGAUUCCAGUGAUUUUCAGAGAAGCCAAGAGUCGUUUUAGGGUGAGUAUGUGUGUCCUUCCAAAUUCUUCUUCCAGUUCCAUUCUCCCAGGGUAUGCUGCUAUGUAGUAGACAAGAACUGAAUCUUCCAGACAAGCUCAAGGUUGUAGAUGCUAUAGAAGAGGCAACUAUUAACAGUUCAGUCCAUGAAUAUACUAUAGGAAAUGAAUCUAGAGAUUUGGUCAGAGUACCUGCGAACAAUAUAUUUAAUCUCAGAAAAAGAAUUUACAGGAACAUAUACAGGAUCCAUACUUGUAGAUAAUAUGCACACCACCAGAAUCCACCACCCUUUUGCAGUCUUGGUCUCCCUGGAGGUAUAGAGAAAAUAAAAACAAGUACGGCUUACAAAAUCUGAGGAAACUUUAUUGAUCUUUUUAUCCUCCCAACACUACGAGAGUUGGCAAUGUAAUAUUUUCAACCCAAGCUCAAAGGAGUAAACCUUCUUCCAAAGUUUAAAUGGGCUGGAUGUUUUUUCCACAUUAUAGUACACUGUCCUAAAUCAACCACUGCCGUAAUAAUCCACAGCCUAGAGUGCAGAAUGGGGGUGCUUUGGCUGUUUCUCUUCCGAGAUCCCCACAGGAGUGUUCUUCUUCUGGGCUCUUGGCAUCUUAUAUUUAACACUGUUUUCUCCAAAUCACAAACUCAGUUACAUAAAUCCUACAUUGAAAAUACAUGAAGAAAAAAAUAUAUUUCAGAUAAUCACUA